UACGCAGGGGGCUAGCGUUGCUCGGAAUCACUGGGCGUAAAGGGUGCGUAGGCGGGUCUUUAAGUCAGGGGUGAAAUCCUGGAGCUCAACUCCAGAACUGCCUUUGAUACUGAGGAUCUUGAGUUCGGGAGAGGUGAGUGGAACUGCGAGUGUAGAGGUGAAAUUCGUAGAUAUUCGCAAGAACACCAGUGGCGAAGGCGGCUCACUGGCCCGAUACUGACGCUGAGGCACGAAGGUCAGGGGAGCAAACGGG
rnacentral:rRNA from 1 species